GGGCGUUAAGUUGCAGGGUAUAGACCCGAAACCCGGUGAUCUAGCCAUGGGCAGGUUGAAGGUUGGGUAACACUAACUGGAGGACCGAACCGACUAAUGUUGAAAAAUUAGCGGAUGACCUGUGGCUGGGGGUGAAAGGCCAAUCAAACCGGGAGAUAGCUGGUUCUCCCCGAAAGCUAUUUAGGUAGCGCCUCGUGAACUCAUCUCCGGGGGUAGAGCACUGUUUCGGCUAGGGGGCCAUCCCGGCUUACCAACCCGAUGCAAACUGCGAAUACCGGAGAAUGUUAUCACGGGAGACACACGGCGGGUGCUAACGUCCGUCGUGAAGAGGGAAACAACCCAGACCGCCAGCUAAGGUCCCAAAGUCAUGGUUAAGUGGGAAACGAUGUGGGAAGGCCCAGACAGCCAGGAUGUUGGCUUAGAAGCAGCCAUCAUUUAAAGAAAGCGUAAUAGCUCACUGGUCGAGUCGGCCUGCGCGGAAGAUGUAACGGGGCUAAACCAUGCACCGAAGCUGCGGCAGCGACACUUUAGUGUUGUUGGGUAGGGGAGCGUUCUGUAAGCCGUUGAAGGUGUCCUGUGAGGGGUGCUGGAGGUAUCAGAAGUGCGAAUGCUGACAUAAGUAACGAUAAAGCGGGUGAAAAGCCCGCUCGCCGGAAGACCAAGGGUUCCUGUCCAACGUUAAUCGGGGCAGGGUGAGUCGACCCCUAAGGCGAGGCCGAAAGGCGUAGUCGAUGGGAAACGGGUUAAUAUUCCCGUACUUGGUGUUACUGCGAAGGGGGGACGGAGAAGGCUAUGUUGGCCGGGCGACGGUAGUCCCGGUUUAAGCGUGUAGGUGUGUGUUCCAGGCAAAUCCGGUUCACUUUAACACUGAGGCGUGAUGACGAGGCACCACGGUGCUGAAGCAACAAAUGCCCUGCUUCCAGGAAAAGCCUCUAAGCAUCAGGUAACAUCAAAUCGUACCCCAAACCGACACAGGUGGUCAGGUAGAGAAUACCAAGGCGCUUGAGAGAACUCGGGUGAAGGAACUAGGCAAAAUGGUGCCGUAACUUCGGGAGAAGGCACGCUGACACGUAGGUGAAGUGAUUUACUCACGGAGCUGAAGUCAGUCGAAGAUACCAGCUGGCUGCAACUGUUUAUUAAAAACACAGCACUGUGCAAACACGAAAGUGGACGUAUACGGUGUGACGCCUGCCCGGUGCCGGAAGGUUAAUUGAUGGGGUCAGCGCAAGCGAAGCUCCUGAUCGAAGCCCCGGUAAACGGCGGCCGUAACUAUAACGGUCCUAAGGUAGCGAAAUUCCUUGUCGGGUAAGUUCCGACCUGCACGAAUGGCGUAAUGAUGGCCAGGCUGUCUCCACCCGAGACUCAGUGAAAUUGAACUCGCUGUGAAGAUGCAGUGUACCCGCGGCAAGACGGAAAGACCCCGUGAACCUUUACUAUAGCUUGACACUGAACAUUGAGCCUUGAUGUGUAGGAUAGGUGGGAGGCUUUGAAGCGUGGACGCCAGUCUGCGUGGAGCCGACCUUGAAAUACCACCCUUUAAUGUUUGAUGUUCUAACGUGGACCCGUAAUCCGGGUUGCGGACAGUGUCUGGUGGGUAGUUUGACUGGGGCGGUCUCCUCCUAAAGAGUAACGGAGGAGCACGAAGGUUGGCUAAUCCUGGUCGGACAUCAGGAGGUUAGUGCAAUGGCAUAAGCCAGCUUGACUGCGAGCGUGACGGCGCGAGCAGGUGCGAAAGCAGGUCAUAGUGAUCCGGUGGUUCUGAAUGGAAGGGCCAUCGCUCAACGGAUAAAAGGUACUCCGGGGAUAACAGGCUGAUACCGCCCAAGAGUUCAUAUCGACGGCGGUGUUUGGCACCUCGAUGUCGGCUCAUCACAUCCUGGGGCUGAAGUAGGUCCCAAGGGUAUGGCUGUUCGCCAUUUAAAGUGGUACGCGAGCUGGGUUUAGAACGUCGUGAGACAGUUCGGUCCCUAUCUGCCGUGGGCGCUGGAGAAUUGAGGGGGGCUGCUCCUAGUACGAGAGGACCGGAGUGGACGCAUCACUGGUGUUCGGGUUGUCAUGCCAAUGGCACUGCCCGGUAGCUAAAUGCGGAAAAGAUAAGUGCUGAAAGCAUCUAAGCACGAAACUUGCCCCGAGAUGAGUUCUCCCUGAGACUUUGAGUCUCCUGAAGGAACGUUAAAGACGAUGACGUUGAUAGGCCGGGUGUGUAAGCGCAGCGAUGCGUUGAGCUAACCGGUACUAAUGAACCGUGAGGCUUAACCUUACAACGCCGAAG
rnacentral:rRNA from 3 species